GCGUCCGUAGCUCAGUUGGCAGAGCAGUGGGAAAGCUCCCCAACGUCCUGGGUUCAAUUCACGGCGGUCGCC